GACGCACGUAUUAGGCGGUUGGUUGACGAACGUGUCUCUUUCUGCGCGCUCGCUUGUCCGCGGCGGGUGUCGGCGGAGUGAGCGCCAUGACACGUUGGGCCUGUGCGGCGGCGCUGGCGCUCGAGCACGAGCUGGCGCUCUCCGGGCAGGGGCGCGCGGACAGGUGACCGUUGACGGAGAUGAAUUGAAUAAGCAGAAUCAAAAAUGAGAAUCUGGAUGUGACGUGAGCUAUCCAGGCAGGGAGCGAGUGAUGAAAUAAACACAAAGACUGCAGAGUCAAAAUCUGGAAACAUGACAUGAGGGUAAAAUUAUGCAGGGAGCGGCAUGAAUGUGAGCAGAUCUGUGGAUGCAUCAUCAAAUUAUAUUCAAAGGCGUUAAAUAAUUGAAAAUAUUUUUGUCUGUUCACUUGUUGAUGACAAACUAACUUCUACAACUGAUAUCUUAGUUUUUUGUACAUGCCAGUUAAAAAAAAAAAAAAUCAUUGUUGUGUCCAAAAGUUGCUCAUGUAUACAGUUAGAGCGAAAUAUUUUAUCUAAGCAAAAGGUAAUCUCCCUCAAUACUAUUUGUUUGAUGGAAGUAGCAGAGUGAAUACAUAUUCCCAAUCUUCUGAUUUUUGAAGCCUGGGGAAGUCGCACAGAUUCAAGCCACCUCAAUGGCCAGGAACAAUGAUUAUUUUGGGCCAAUUACGCAAUUAGUACCUUAUGCGGGCGAUCCCACGAUAUGGGGGUCGCAAUUUAGCAUAGCAAAUUUCUGGAAUUCUGCACGUGCAUCAAGAAAUGAGUUUAUAAAUCCACAUUUUCUGAGGGGCCUUUUCUAAAUCAGUUUUUUGGUAGUGAUUUGUGGAUUUCCAUUCAUAAAACCAAUCAGAUAUGUCGGAAGUUAGUUAUUUAUAAAUGACUCUUUGGCAGAGGCAAACUAGGCAAUUAGAGCCUUGUAUUUUUGUACAUUGCUUGUAUAUUAUGUUUUUAUUGCUUUCAUUCAUGUGAUGUUUCAGUUGAUUUAACUUGUAACAAUAAAAGCAUGAUAAAAAGA